UACGAAGGGGGCUAGCGUUGCUCGGAAUCACUGGGCGUAAAGCGCACGUAGGCGGAUCUUUAAGUCAGAGGUGAAAUCCCAAGGCUCAACCUUGGAACUGCCUUUGAUACUGGGGAUCUCGAGUCCGGAAGAGGUGAGUGGAACUGCGAGUGUAGAGGUGAAAUUCGUAGAUAUUCGCAAGAACACCAGUGGCGAAGGCGGCUCACUGGCCCGAUACUGACGCUGAGGCACGAAAGCGUGGGGAGCAAACAGG
rnacentral:rRNA from 1 species